rnacentral:misc_RNA from 1 species
UGGAAGAGUGGAGCAGCUUUUUUUGUUGUUAUCUUUUGAUGCUAAAACUGGACGGAAUUCGUUCUACUGAUGCACAAGAAAUUAGAGUCGCUUUGUCCUCCAAGCUAUACUUUAGCUGGAGUUGAUGAUGUGUUUAAUCCUUUUACGUCUCUCUUUCGCUUGGCUUGCAAUUGCAAACCCCUGAAUUCAGUAGCUUCAUCGUUUCUUCUUUUCU